CCUACGGGAGGCAGCAGUGAGGAAUAUUGGUCAAUGGACGCAAGUCUGAACCAGCCAUGCCGCGUGCAGGAAGACGGCGCUAUGAGAUGUAAACUGCUGUUGUACGAGGGUAAACGCAGAUACGCGUAUCUUUCUGAAAGUAUCUUACGAAUAAUGAUCGGCUAACUCCGUGCCAGCAGCCGCGGUAAUACGGAGGAUUCAAGCGUUAUCCGGAUUUAGUGGGUUUAAAGGGUGCGUAGGCGGUCGGUUAAGUUAGCGGUGAAAUCCCUGGGCUCAACUUCGGAUUUGCCUCUGCUACUUUUCGGCUAGAGCGUAGUUGCGGUAGGCGGAAUGUCUGGUGUAGCGGUGAAAUGCU
rnacentral:rRNA from 1 species